CUCUUAUCCUGAGUAGGCGGAGGGACAGGCCCGAAGAAGCCCAGCAACCAACAUUCUAAGCCAGAGUGAAAAGGUGCUAACCUGCAAGGCAUUGCCUUGGACGAUAAGAG
rnacentral:ncRNA from 2 species